CGGUGGGUUGAAGACGGGUGGACUUCUGGCUGAGGUAGUAGGUUGUAUAGUAGGGUUACAUCAAUUCAGGCGACUAUACAACCUUCUAGCUUUGACUGGCGGUCUACAAGAGACACCCUUCUCAGC
rnacentral:pre_miRNA from 10 species